rnacentral:rRNA from 1 species
UCCGUAGGCGGUGUGGCAAGUCGGAAGUGAAAUCUCUGGGCUUAACUCAGAGGCUGCUUCCGAAACUGCCGUGCUAGAGUGCGAGAGAGGCAAGUGGAAUUGCGGGUGUAGCGGUGAAAUGCGUAGAUAUCCGCAGGAACAUCCGAGGCGAAAGCGGCUUGCUGGAUCGCAACUGACGCUGAGGGACGAAAGCUAGGGGAGCAAACAGGAUUAGAUACCCUGGUAGUCCUAGCCCUAAACCAUCAGGACUUGGGGUUUGCCCUGUACGGGGCAAGUCCCGUAGCUAGCGCGUUAAGUCCUGCGCCUGGGGAGUACGGUCGCAAGGCUGAA